AUGCACGCUGGCGGCGUGCUUAACCCAUGCAAGUCGAACGGAAAGGCUCCUGCUUGCAGGGGUACUCGAGUGGCGAACGGGUGAGUAACACGUGGGUGAUCUGCCCUGCACUUCGGGAUAAGCCUGGGAAACUGGGUCUAAUACCGGAUAGGACGAUGGUUUGGAUGCCGUUGUGGAAAGUUUUUCGGUGUGGGAUGAGCUCGCGGCCUAUCAGCUUGUUGGUGGGGUAAUGGCCUACCAAGGCGUCGACGGGUAGCCGGCCUGAGAGGGUGUACGGCCACAUUGGGACUGAGAUACGGCCCAGACUCCUACGGGAGGCAGCAGUGGGGAAUAUUGCACAAUGGGCGCAAGCCUGAUGCAGCGACGCCGCGUGGGGGAUGACGGCCUUCGGGUUGUAAACUCCUUUCGCUAGGGACGAAGCGCAAGUGACGGUACCUGGAGAAGAAGCACCGGCUAACUACGUG
rnacentral:rRNA from 1 species